rnacentral:rRNA from 1 species
UAAUAAGCGGAGGAAAAGAAACUAACAAGGAUUCCCUCAGUAACGGCGAGUGAAGCGGAAGAGCUCAAAUUUGAAAUCGCCGUCGCCUUCCAACGGCGACUUGUGAUUUCGAGAGGCGCUUUCUCGGCCGGCAUCGGACGCGUCCAAGUCGCUUGGAACGGCGCGUCACGGAGGGUGAGAACCCCGUCUACGGCGCGUCCGCCGUCACGAUGCGCUUUCCA